rnacentral:rRNA from 1 species
UGCGUAGGCGGCCUAUUAAGUCAGUGGUGAAAGGUAUCAGCUUAACUGAUGACGUGCCAUUGAAACUGAUAGGCUUGAGUACAGACGAGGUAGGCGGAAUUUAUGGUGUAGCGGUGAAAUGCAUAGAUACCAUAAAGAACACCAAUUGCGAAGGCAGCUUACUAGACUGAGACUGACGCUGAGGCACGAAAGCGUGGGGAGCGAACAGGAUUAGAUACCCUGGUAGUC